rnacentral:rRNA from 1 species
CAAUAGCGUAUAUUAAAGUUGUUGCGGUUAAAAAGCUCGUAGUUGGAUUUCUGCCGAGGACGACCGGUCCGCCCUCUGGGUGUGUAUCUGGUUUGGCCUGGGCAUCUUCUUGGAGAACGUAGCUGCACUUGACUGUGUGGUGCGGUGUCCAGGACUUUUACUUUGAGGAAAUUAGAGUGUUUCAAGCAGGCACACGCCUUGAAUACAUUAGCAUGGAAUAAUAAGAUAGGACCUCGGUUCUAUUUUGUUGGUUUCUAGAGCUGAGGUAAUGAUUAAUAGGGAUAGUUGGGGGCAUUCGUAUUUAACUGUCAGAGGUGAAAUUCUUGGAUUUGUUAAAGACGGACUACUGCGAGAGCAUUUGCCAAGGAUGUUUNCAUUG